AAUAAGAUAGUGGAGAUCGUUUAAGCAACUUGAAAUAAAUACUCUUCCUGCAUGUCAAACUGGGCGGUUUCCAGACAGAGGUUUGAAAGUUACACUGUGGUUUAGCAGCAACACGGAAUGAAUAGGAGGUAACACAAAAUAAGACCUCGCUGUGAGUGGGGACACAUUGGAAUACCAGUACGACGGACAGGACUGGAAGAAAUGACCAAUCAAGAGGAAGGAGAGACCCCAAAAGGAGGACUACCUUUCCCUCAUUGGAUCUGCCAGUCUUACAUCAGACCAGGCUAAAUAUACAAAAUGUGAACAGUGUGAAAUCCAAAGGUAAGCCUGUGUCUUGUGAAUAAUAGUUCAGUGGCAUGUGUGUUCGGUUUUCGAAGCAUGUAAGAAGGGUGAGGUAAGGCGGCGGCUAUGAUAAUAGCCCUUGCUAGAGGCUUUUAGAUAGACUGUGAAACAGGGUGCAGUAAAAAACAGAGCUGUAAAGAUGUAUAUCUGUACAUAGUCUAGUUCUAAGCCUUUUAUUCUUUAUUGCACAUAUUGUUUGUUUCCUUAGAAUGAAAGUCUCCCAGAUUUCUUGUUUCAUGUGUUAUAGACCAAACAAAGGCUGCUUUAAAGAACCUUGAUUUGAAAAUGACAUAAUUAUAGACUGCAGUGAAAUGUUACCUACCCAUGUGACAAAUCUUGUACUUGUGGUUCUGAGUUUUGGCAUUAAAUGCAAGAUUAAUGUCUCUUGCUUGUUUUAAUGUAAUCUUCUUUGACGCAGUUAGGAAUUCGUUAGAUGUCUUAAUAGAAUUCUCUUAGGGUUACUGAAUGAUGAAAGAUGUCACGCUUCAGAGAAUGGAGUUAUAAGCUCUGUACCUUAAGCCUUUUAGCUGCUGACACAUUUAUAAGGUUAUUUUGUUUUCAAGGAUUGUCUCAAAGCAAUUUUUUAAAUAAAAAACAGCCCAUUUUUGGCUGCAGGUUUGAUUUUUAUAUCUUACCAGAUGGGAACAUAUUUAGCUUUUGUCUGGAUGAAUAUAUACUGUAUUCCACAAAUACAAUUAUAUCUUUGUCCAGGCAUUUGCACUGCAAUAUCCCCUUAUAAAGCAGCUAUAUGACAGUCCAAUUUAAUUAGGAAAACCCCGGGGGGGCUUUUAUGGAUUUCUCUUGUUUCCACUGCAAAAUUGUUUGUAGGUCAGGGAAUAUUUAUAUUUUUAUAUAUAGAAGGUAUAUUUUUCACCGAAGGGAAAUUUGUGCAACCUGGACCUUUGCUGCCUCUCUACUGGGGCUGCAUGGUGUCUAUAUAGAAAGUUGUUCUCCUCACCGUGAUUGAUCCAAAACAACUCAUUUUAAAGCCAGACAAUUUGACAGCUUUCUUUGUUAUAGGAAUUUCUCUAUAUUCACAGAAAUGACAGAGAACGUUUUAUUUUUAUUGUUAAUAUGCAUUUCAUCAUUCAGUAGCACAAUGGGAUAGUGUGCUGCAUUCUAGGCUUUGCAUUGCUUGUUCUUAAAUGUGCUUAGAAAGUUUGUUCUUUAUAUGUGUUAACAUGUUUACAGUCCCUUAACAUCUACAGUUCUACAUUUAAGGGCUUGAGUAUAAAAAGUAAAAAAAAAAAAAAUGUACCGCAAAUAUUAUGGGUUGUCUGUAAAUUUGAAAGCUUAAUCAAUUUCCCCUUUAAUGCCUUGCUAAGCAUCUAGGCUGUUUUUUAAAAUAUACUACUGCCAUUUUCACAGUGACC